ACAACUGGGUGAUCUGCAUAACUCAAUGAACCAGUACUUCCCAAAUGACCAAUGCAUGAUGUUACA